rnacentral:rRNA from 1 species
UACGAAGGGGGCUAGCGUUGUUCGGAAUUACUGGGCGUAAAGCGCACGUAGGCGGCUUUGUAAGUUAGAGGUGAAAGCCCGGGGCUCAACUCCGGAAUUGCCUUUAAGACUGCAUCGCUAGAAUUGUGGAGAGGUAAGUGGAAUUCCGAGUGUAGAGGUGAAAUUCGUAGAUAUUCGGAAGAACACCAGUGGCGAAGGCGACUUACUGGACACAUAUUGACGCUGAGGUGCGAAAGCGU